rnacentral:lncRNA from 1 species
AUGGGCGGGGUCUGGGCGGAGUCUACCGGGAGCCGCGUCGAGCCGGGGCGGAGCGAAGACCCCUGGGAGAGCUGUCUUCUCAGGGAUGAGGAACGGCCUGCACCUGAUGGAGAGCAAAUGGCUAUUUCCACACGUGGAGAACUUUUAACGAACACGGUAGUAUAUUUGGAACCCAGGCUGCCUCAAGGAUUAUUUUUAUAUAUAGUUCAAAAGGUAAUAUAUUAUUUGUGGAAAUAUAUUAAUGCUUUAAAAAUUAUGGUGAAAGCUGUGUUGCUUUUAUGUCUAUUUUUUUUUCUCUUGUGGGAGUGUGUUGUAUUAUGUGCCUGCCAAAAUUAGUCUUGAUAGAUGCCAAUUAUAGAUCUAGAAGUGUGUUGUUUUUGCUGUUAUUAGAGAUACAUCUAGAAGUGAUUACUUUUUGAAAGUUACUUGGAAAUUAUUCUUGUCAACAUUAUGAAGGAUUAAUGAUUAUAUUGCAUAUAUUUUACAGAACAAGGCAAGCAAAAUAUUUUAGUAUUUGCAAAUCAUGUCACUAUAAUUAUUAUAUCAUAGUACCAUUUAUAUAAAGUAUUAGGUUGGUACAAAAGUAAUUGCGGUUUAGGACCAUGAAUUUUAAAUCAUAAGUAGGCCCAGACACAUCUUUAUUAAUCAGAAUAGGAAGCAUUAUAAUCAACGUAUUUUUGCCAAUGAGAAAUAAGUUUGUUCACUCCCAUAGCUUAAAAAUUCAUGCUUUGGGAUUUGGAAAGCGUUUUCUGCUUUCCAAAAACCUGCUGGUUUUGGAAGCAUUUUCCUUUCAAAUAGUUGUCGAGAUGCUUGAAGAAGUGGUAGUUGACAAGAGGUCAGGUGAAUAUGGCAGAUGAGGCAAACUUCAUAGCUCAAUUCAUUCAGCUUUCGAAGCGUUAGUUGUGUGUCGUGCGGUUGGGCAUUGUCAUGAAGAAGAAUUGGGCCCUUUCUGUUGACCAAUGCUGGCUGCAGGUGUUGCACUUUUCAGUGCAUCUCAUUGAUUUGCUGAGUGUACUUCUCAGAUGUAAUGGUUUCACCAGGAUUCCGAAAGCUGUAGUGGGCCGGUAUGAUGGCCCACAUCUGUAACCCCAGCACUUUGGGAGGCCGAGGUGGGUGGCUCACCUGAGUUCAGGAGUUUGAGACCAGCCUGGCCAACAUUGCGAAACCCCAUCUCUACUAAAAAUACAAAAUUAGCCAGGCAUGGUGGCAUACACCCAUAGUUCCAGCUAAUUGAGAACUGAGGCAGGAGAAUCGCUUGAACCUGGGAGGUAGAGGUUGCAGUGAGUUGAGAUCGCACCGCUGCACUCUAGUCUGGGUGACAGAGCGAGACUCCGUCUCAAAAAAAAAAAAAAAAAAAAAAAAGAAGAAAGCUGUAGUGGAUCAGGCUGGCAGCAGACCACCAAACAGUGACUCUGACCUUUUUUUGGUGCAAGUUUGGUUUUGGGAAGUGAUUUGGAGCUUCUUCUAGGUCCAGGCACUGAGCUGGUCGUCGCCAGUUGUAUAAAAUCCACUUUUUGUCACACGUCACAAUCCGAUUGAGAAAUGGUUCGUUAUUGUUGUGUAGUAUAAGAUGAGAUGGCACUUCAAAAUGACGAUUUAAAAACAUUUUCCCUCAGGUCCUGAGACACCCACUUAUCCAGCUUUUUCAACUUUCCAAUUUGCUCCAAAUGCCAAACGACCAUAGAAUGGUCAACAUUGAGUUCUUUGGCAACUUUUCACGUAGCUCUAAGACGAUCAGCUUCAAUGAUUGCUCUCAAUUGGUCGUUGUCAACUUCUGAUGGCUGGCAAUGAUGUUCCUCAUUUUCAGUCUCCUUUGCAAAACUUCUUGAACCACCACUGCAUUGUACUUUUGUUAGUAGUUCCUGGGCCAAAUGCGUUGUUGUUGUAAGUUGUCUCUGCUGCUUUAUGAACCAUUUUGAUCCUGAAUAAGAAAAUCACUGGAAUUCGCUAUUUGUGUAACAUCAUUUCCAUAGUCUAAAAUAAACAUAAACAGCAAGUAAUAAAUCAUUAGGAACAAAAACAUAAAGUGAGAAAUGUCCAUUAAAAUGAUAUGUAACAUAGCCACAUUUAUUUUAAAAAUGUAUUCCAAUAUCAAAUGGCAAAUUCCAGCAAUGCAAAACCUGCAAUUAAUGUUUGCACCAACCCAAUAUUUCAGUUGUUUAACAUUUAUUUAGAAUAUUUUUCUUUUUCAGAAUGAAAUAAAGAACUGCUGUACUAUCUAUAACUAUUUACUCUGUGACAAAACUUUUUCUAAAUUGAUCUUUCACAGUAAUAUUUUAAAUUAUUAUUUUCCUAUGGAGAUGUUAAAAUAAAUUUAAGGCAUUCAUUAUCUUAGAAGUUAUAGAAGUCAGAAUGAGUUUUUGGUGUAAUUUCUUUUUUGUAUUGAAGUUUUAUUUUUAAAUGCCCUAAGUGCUGUCUGUAUUUACAUAUGUAAUAAGCUCAUAACAUGUUAAAAAAUGGGUGCUAUUGUAAGCUGAGAUCACGCCACUACACUCCAGCCUGGGUGACAGACUGAGACCCUGUCUCAAAAAAAAAAAAAAAAUGUUGCUGUUGUUUUUAUAUGCAGCCUCUAUUUCCUUCCUUAAUCUACAGGUUUUGUGUCAUACCUUCAUUCCUGCCUUCCAGGUAGGAAUAAUCCACUGUUAAAACUAUGUUUGUGAUUUAGAUAUUUUUAUGGGAAAACUCUUUAAAAAUGUAAAGUCUGAUUCUUGUCUCUGUUGACAGACCAAAUUUCUGAACUGUAUGAUAGUCAACCUUAAGAGGUUAAUCUUAGCCUAGUGUGAAAAUUAAUACUAUAGUUAAUAUAUUAUAAAAUUACUUAUAUAUUGACAUUGACAUUAUGAACAAUAAGUAAUAUUGUUUUUGACAGAGCUGUUUAACUACUAAAAGAUAUUGAAACAUUGUUGUCUUUAACAGUUAAAAACUUUACAAAUUUAUACUAAGGAGAAAUAAGAAAAACCUUUUUAUCUGGGAAUGCAAGCUCCUUUAAAUUUUCAGGCCCAGAAAGGCAUUUAAAAUGUAACAGCAGUACAUCUCAUUCCCCAUAGAGCUAAAUAAUGACCCCUUCAAGCUGCUUGCUAUUGGGGCUCCAGACUAACUGACGCCAAGUACCCAUAAAAUGCCAUGUAUGCUGUAGUUCAACAACAUAUACCCAAUCACCAAGCAAUGUUAUUUUUGUAAACCAAUGAGAAUUUCUGAUGAACAGCUUUUGUAAUUGCCCCCUCUCCUGAUUCGUCCUUUGUUUCUUUAAAAACUUGAGACUCUCUUUUGUUUUCUGGAGCACUCAGCUAGGCAACUUGGAAGUUUCGUCCCUGGCUGCAGUCCUCAACGUUUGUGCUUGAAUAAACUCUAAACUACAGUCUGACCCUUUUGAUUAUUUUAGGUUCACACUAAAUAUGUACUUAAAAUUCUUAGGAAAAAAAAUUGAUUCCCAAAUAUGGUUACUGGGAUUAUUCUUGUUAUCUGCAGUAUGAAGUAAAUGGAUUUGAAAUGUGUUUUUCUCUGUGUACAUGCAGUGAAGAGUUGGGCUCUUAUUUGCCUAGUGAUAUGAUAAAGAAUCCUAGGUUUGGUUAUCUUUUGUAGUAAAAUGAAAAAAAAAGAGUUACAUGUUCUUCAAUAAAAGACUUAUUUUCUAGUUUUUGCUAGUAUAAUGGGUAAAAUGGUAGCUCAAAUUUUAAUUUGCAUUUUUUUAAUUACUAGUGAGUGAGAGUGAGAUUCUCUUCAUUCACUUGUAUGGAUUUCACUUACAGUUCCAAAUUUAGCAAAUAAAAAUACAGGUACCUUGUUAAGUUUGAAUUUCAGGUAAGCAACAAAUAAUUUUUUAGU